CUUAAAGAGAAACCAGAGGAAUUCCAAGCAAAUUCUAAACUGCUGAUGCAACAUUUAUACCAAGAUGGAGUAUGAAAUCCAACAUAAAGUUUGAGCCAAGUCAAGCUUGAAAAACAUCGAAUCUCGACCACAAAUGCAAUCCACAGCUUUCUUUAAGGAGUUACAAACACAUUGUUGUCCAUUUGCCAAAAAAUAGAGCUUAUAUUGGGAUAAGAUUCUACAAAAAUAAUGAAAGUUUUUAGGACGAAAAUUUUCGCUGAAAGCACGAGGGCACAAGCUUCA
rnacentral:lncRNA from 1 species